ACAUCACUAAGAGAGGUUUGCUCUUAGCAGUACCUGCCCAGUGCGUCAUAUUGUAAACGGCCGCCCUAGCGUGAGGGUGCCAAGGUAGCGAAAUUCCUUGCCUUUUAAUUGUAGGCCUGCAUGAAUGGAUUGACGAGGGCCAUUCUGUCUCUUGCCUUAUGAAGUGAAAUUGGAUUAAAGGUGAAGAUACCUUUAUUAAAAAGUUAGACAAGAAGACCCCGUGCAGCUUUUAAAAGAUCCUUUAUUAAGAGAGGUAGAUUUUUAGGUGGGGCGCCUAGGAAGUAAAAUUUAACCUUCUGUAUAAUUUUGUUUGUGGUAACUCUCUAGUAUAGACCCGGUAAAAUCCGAUCGUAGGAGAAGUUACGCCGGGGAUAACAGGCUUAUCCAUUAGUAGAGCUCGUAUUGGCUAAUGGGAUUGGCACCUCGAUGUUGAAUUAGGGACAAUAACUUUAAGGCGUAGAAGCUUUAAGAGUGGGUCUGUUCGACCUUUAAUACCCUACGUGA
rnacentral:rRNA from 1 species